GGCGACUCCUGCUUGGCCGCCCGAGCCUUCCUUCCAGAAGCCCGCAAGUCUCCCAAGGUCACUCGGGACCCCUGUGUGCCUGGCCUAGCCCAGAGGCUGCUCACCUAUUCAUUUUCAUCCGUACUCCAGGAAAUACCAAAAAGAAGGGGUCCUGGAGGAGAGAGAUGGGCUGCCGUGGGUAGGAGAAAGGAGAGGGCUAGGAGACCCCGUAACACAAUAAAAAGAGACUCUCCAGCGGAAUCUUCUUAGUAUCUUCUGAGUAUUUACUUUUUAAAUCGUCCGUUCAGCGCAGUGGAAACGAGUUUGGAAAUUUUUCCAAGAAAGUUCUAUUAAUUCCUAAAAACGUUUAAGAAAAGAAAAUGGUUGUUAUCUAGAGAAGUAGCUAUGAUUUAGGGUUGUGUUUUUUUUUUUUUUUUUUCCAGAAAAGGGUAUUGUUUCAAAGCAGGGCUAGCAGAAGGCAGUAGACAGAGGGUGUUCGCUGUCAGAGUCUGGGGCGCUGCUGCAGGCUCACCUGGCUGUGUACACAGCUCCCAUUCACCUAGUGAAAUCGUGUAAAUAAUGAAGUGCACACAUUGCAUAACAAACAGGAACUCUUCUGAUCCAAAGAGGUGGCAUUGUUACCCUUAAACGUGCUUCUCAGUCUAGUGUUAACGACUUCAGCCCUCUGUUCCUGUGCCUUUUAAAAGCCCUGGUCAGUAACCCCUAAGUAGGUUAACUCCACAUUUUUAGAAGAUAUAUGUGCACAAUAAACUCGAGUUAGGACCUUAAGUACAAUUUGUUUUUUAUAUGCUCUGGUCAUUCAUGAAGAUAUCUAUUUGCACUUUGAAUAACCUGUUCCUAAAUCACACCAGCCUUAUGAAUGCAUAAUUCCUCAAAUAAGGAUGGAAAUGAUCCGUUUGGGAAUGUUUAGUUUCAGUGCUCAUAUCCUUUACUGCCUGCUAAGCACCUCCACUUUUUAAAAAGACACUUCAUAGCUUUUAAAAAAAAAAAAUUACAAACUGCUCCAGAAAGUACACUGAGAUGGAAAGAAGUGGGGGGAACCCUCAACUCGCUCAAUUCUGCCACUUUCUGGAAGGUUUAACCAAAUAUAUGGAAAACUACUGGCCAACAUUAGCUUGGAGGAUAACCGGUGGAUUUUAAGCAUUCAUAUAAUUUCUCUUUUCCUUAACUGUGCAGAGGACUGAAACAGUUUGAGAAACUAAAUUCAUUUUUCACUCACUGCAUUCUGGGUGUUCUUUAGUGGACGGUCGUUUGCAUCUUUGCAAGCCUGGGACUGGCAGAAGCAGAAGCCUACCCCAAAGCCAGAGCUAUUAAAAAUAAUAAGCACUACUGAAAAUAUUAACUACUUUUCACUGAAGGUCUUCUAAAAGGAACAUUUAUUUUUCCUUUCUUGAAAACUUUUUUGUAAUCUUCUAUUUGUUUUAAGUUUCUUUUUAGAAGUAUGUUCACACGUUAAUUAAAUGCCACAGCUAAGGAAGCCCAUACAAAGGCUAUGAAGGAAUUGGAUAAUAAAAGCACUGCCACUCUGA
rnacentral:lncRNA from 1 species